AAAUGGCAAAAAUAUAAUUGGCAUAAAACAGAUGACUAAAAAUGAAUGAAGUUGAAGAAAGUUGAAAGACACCCCUGAAGAACCUGAAUUAUUUUAGCCCUAUCCUAGAUUCAUUAAUUAAUAUAUUUUAGUGCGUGAUAACAUGUGUGAAAUGUGAUCAAUUAUGUUACAAUUUUCAAAACUUGGAUUUAUAAAGAGAAAUUAUUCUUUGUAAAGUUUAAGAAAUAAACCUUUUUUGUGUG